rnacentral:rRNA from 1 species
GACGAACGCUGGCGGCGUGCUUAACACAUGCAAGUCGAACGGAAAGGCCCUGCUUUUGUGGGGUGCUCGAGUGGCGAACGGGUGAGUAACACGUGAGUAACCUGUCCCUGACUGACGGAGAACAUCAGGAAACUGGGGCUAUUACAGGAUAGGAUCUCUUGCUGCAUGGUGGGGGUUGGAAAGUUUCGGCGGUUGGGGAUGGACUCGCGGCAUCUCAGCUUGAUGGUGGGGUAGUGGAUUACCAAGUUUUUGACGGGUAGGCGGCCUGAGAGGAGGGCCGGACACAUUAGGACUGAGAUAGGGCCCAGACGGCAAUCGUACGCAACGGUGGAGAAUGUUACACAAUAGACGGGAGCAUGAUGCGACAACGCAACGUUCGGGAUGACGGGUUUCUGGUUGUAAACCAAUGUCUCAUGAGCCGUGACGUGAGUGACGGUAAUGGGUAAAGAAGCACCGGCUAACUACGUG